rnacentral:rRNA from 1 species
UUUUCGGUGGCCAUAGCGAAGAGGUCCCACCCGUUCCCAUCCCGAACACGGAAGUUAAGCUCUUCAGCGCCGAUGGUACUGCAUGGGAGACUAUGUGGGAGAGUAGGUCGCCGCCGAU